rnacentral:rRNA from 1 species
UCAGGAUGAACGCUAGCGGCAGGCUUAACACAUGCAAGUCAGGGGCAGCGUGGAGCAGCAAUGCUCUGACGGCGACCGGCGGAAGGGUGCGUAACACGUGAGCGACUUGCCCGUCACAGGGGGAUAACCGGCGGAAACGGCGACUAAUACCCCAUAUGAUGCGAUGCUGCAUGGCAUUGCAUUGAAAGAUUCAUCGGUGGCGGAUAGGCUCGCGGGACAUUAGCUAGACGGCGGGGUAACGGCCCACCAAGGCGACGAUCAGUAGCCGGACUGAGAGGUUGAACGGCCACAUUGGGACUGAGAUACGGCCCAGACUCCUACGGGAGGCAGCAGUGGGGAAUAUUGGGCAAUGGGCGCAAGCCUGACCCAGCAACGCCGCGUGAAGGAAAAAGGCUUUCGGGUUGUAAACUUCUUUUAAGAGGGAAGAGCAGAAGACGGUACCUCUAGAAUAAGCCACGGCUAACUACGUG